CGUCGCCACGGGAAUACAGAGGGUGCAAGCGUUAAUCGGAAUUACUGGGCGUAAAGCGCGCGUAGGUGGUUUGUUAAGUUGGAUGUGAAAGCCCCGGGCUCAACCUGGGAACUGCAUCCAAAACUGGCAAGCUAGAGUACGGUAGAGGGUGGUGGAAUUUCCUGUGUAGCGGUGAAAUGCGUAGAUAUAGGAAGGAACACCAGUGGCGAAGGCGACCACCUGGACUGAUACUGACACUGAGGUGCGAAAGCGUGGGGAGCAAACAGGAUUAGAUACCCCAGUAGUCCCUGUCUCUUAUACA
rnacentral:rRNA from 1 species